rnacentral:rRNA from 1 species
UACGUAGGGGGCAAGCGUUGUCCGGAAUUAUUGGGCGUAAAGCGCGUGUAGGCGGCUUUGCAAGUCGGGUGUGAAAGCCCUCAGCUCAACUGAGGAAGUGCGCCCGAAACUGCAGAGCUUGAGUGCCGGAGAGGGUGGCGGAAUUCCCCAAGUAGAGGUGAAAUUCGUAGAUAUCAGGAGGAACACCAAUGGCGAAGGCAGCUCUCUGGUACGUGACUGACGCUGAGACGCGAAAGCGUGGGUAGCAAACAGG